GCCAUGUUGUGCAGAGGCCCAGGGCUUGUGAGGAGACCCGUGUAGAAAAGAACGAGACGUCUCCAGGUGUACCCCCCCCAGCCAAGCUGAGCUCCCGGGGGUCUCAGCCAGCACACAGCUUGCCAACAUGAGCCAUGAGAGAGCUGCCUUUGGUUAACUUUCUGAGCUGCCAGCUGCCCGUGGUGUCUCAGACUUCAGGAUCAGCCCCAAGUGGUACUUGUGACCAUCCUUCACAUCUGGGUGUGCGGGGAGGAACUUGACUGGUCUGAUGACAGCUUUCCCCCCAUCUUCAGCCCCACGUUGUCAUUUUUCAGCACUGCUGGUUCCAACACAGGGUGCUGCUACUUUUAUUUGGGCCCCCCUCCCCGAAGGCUACCACCUCAAGGAAAAAAUAUUUUCUGGCCUGAGGCUGAACACCACACAUUUAAGAAACACAGUCAGGAACUUACUCUGGACAUCAGGAGUUAAUCUCUUUGUUUAUCCUUAAAAUAGAGCUUCUCCCUAGAGUAGUCAUGUUCAAUUAUAUGUCAUCUCUGUUAUUUCUGGUGCAGUGAGGAUUAAAGGCCCAUCAUGAUGACUUUGCAGAGAGGCCAAAGUUGCCCUUACUUACUUUUCUCAGAAUAGAGAGCAUUCAUCAGGGGGCAAAAAUAAUAAUAAUAAUAAUAAAACUCUCAUGAAAUUAUGAAAAGUACACAAGGAAAACAUUAAAGGAUUAUAUUUUAAAGCCUUGGGACAUAGAAUAUUAUUCCUUAUAAGAAGGUCCCUUGGUAUUGGGAUUAUUUCCUGGAAUGCUCAUGAUUUAUUUGACAAAACCACCUAAUGAGCAAACCGCAAACAAGCAGAUAAUAAGAGCUUCAGAGAACACAUGUUGGUUUUUUGCCCCCCCUCAGUGGGGUUUGCUGUAGCCUCUAGCACUCUCCGUUAUAUCAGAACCAUCAGUUCUCAAGUAAAAGUGUCACUGGCGAUUUGUUAAAACAGCAUGUGAUUUGCACAGCACUUCCAGGCAACUGUGUGAAAUGGGUACAAGGUCGUCCACCUGAAAUGCAAGUCAAGCUCAAACAUCAAAUAAAGGAAGUUCCUACAAGACACAGCAGCGGAUUCCAAAGUUUCUUCUCAUGUAGUUUCCCUCCCAAAAGAUGCUCUUUCAAAACCAAGAAUUUUGUGGGGGUUCUAUGCCACUGAAACUGUAAGCCAUAUUUGAGUCACCACGCAGUCAUUGAUUGUCCAGUACUGCAAACUCCUCACAUCUGUGUCCACAGUUGGGUAGGGGCUGUGGUUCCUAGGGCUUCUAAAACUUUCAUUUCACUUCAGUCGCUCAGUCGUGUCCGACUCUUUGCGACGCCAUGGACCACAGCACGCCAGGCCUCCCUGUCCAUCACCAUCUCCGGGAGCUUGCUCAAACUCAUGUCCAUCGAGUCAGUGAUGCCAUCCAACCAUCUCAUCCUCUGUCAUCCCCUUCUCCUCCCGCCUUCAAUCUUUCCCAGCACCAGGGUCCUCUCCAAUGAAUUGGUUCUUCGCAUCAGGUGGUCCAAGGAUUGGAGUGCAUAGGGUUCCCUUUUCUCCACAUCCUCACCAGUGCACGUUUGUGGCUGUUGACGGUAGUCCUUCUCACAGCUGUGUGAUGAUAUCUCAUCAUGGCUUUCUGUGCAUGUCCCAGGAUUCCGGUAUAUGUGACAUCAUUUUACUGGAAGAGUCAAUGCAGGUGUACAUGGAGGUGUGCGUGUCGACGUCAUUACAUCAGAACAUUCACACUUGAUCGCUUCUCUUUGAAGGAGGGUGGAAGACUCGCAGACUCCACACGACACCUGAUUUUUUAACAGCAGCAGUAUCCUCAGCAGGUGAAAGCUGCUUGGCUUCAUGUACCUGGAUACUUUGUUUUCACCACC